rnacentral:misc_RNA from 1 species
AGAGACGUUGCCCGUCGGGGUAGACCCCCCUUGUUUAUACCUUUUACUUGCGGCCGUCCUCGGCACCUAUCUGUGCUUCCUGCUGGCGGAGCUGCCCGCCAGGGACCUAAAGCCUUGUAUCGGCAUUGAAUAUUCUGAGUAACUAUAAUAGUUA